rnacentral:rRNA from 1 species
UACGGAGGGGGCGAGCGUUGUCCGAAGUUACUGGGCGUAAAGCGCGCGUAGGCGGGUCAGCAAGUCCGCUGUGAAAGCCCGAGGCUUAACCUCGGCGGGUCGGUGGAUACUGUUGGUCUUGAAGGUGCUAGGGGGAGAUGGAAUGACCGGUGUAGCGGUGAAAUGCGUAGAUAUCAAGAGGAACACCUGAGGUGAAGACGGGUUGCUGGGCUGACACUGACGCUGAGACGCGAAAGCUAGGGUAGCAAACGGG